AAUUGACCUCGGAUCAGGUAGGGAU
rnacentral:rRNA from 1 species